UCGGCGGCGGCAAUGGCGGCCGCCCUCCCAAACGACGUCCUCCUCGAGAUCCUGCUCCGACUGGACGACGCGGCCGACCUCUUCCGCUGCGCCACCGCGUGCAAGCGACUGCGCGGCCUCGUCAUCGAUUCAUCCUUCCUCCUGCGCCGGUGGCCGGAGCACGUGCGCCCAUCCUUGGCCGGAUUGUUCAUCAAGGAUCGGGGCCGUUAUCAAGGGUCCAAGGUGCUCGUCCCGACGCCGCGGUCCGAGCUGGGUCCAGGCCGCCGCCGUGCCCUCAGCUGCUUCGUUCCCGGCAUCUCUGCACGCCUAUUAUACCACGCGGUGCCGCUGUUCUCGAGUCGCGGCCUCCUGCUCGCGCGCCUCGCCCCCAAGGACACAAGUUGGAGCGUCGUCCACCUGGCUGUCUGCAACCUGCUCACCGGCACAUGCGACGUGCUCCUUCCUAUACAGCUAGGUCUCGCGUCCCUCUCCCCUGCCUCCCCUGCCGGCGAGCGUAGCGGCUGCGCCAUCGUGACCGGCACGGACUAUCGCCGUUCCAGCAGCGACGACGAGGAACCACGGGGCAAUUCACCACUCUUCAAAGUGAUAGUCCUCACCGUCAGCUGCAAGGACGACCUCAAGUUCUACCUUAACACGUUCUCGUCCGACGAACCGAGCUGGAGAGCCAUGCGCACGGUGUCCUUUGGCGCUACCAUAGACGCCAAUGCCUCCGGGUCGUUCUGUCAGAGCGAUGCCGUCGUGCGCCACGGCACCGCGCACUGGCUAUUUCGUAACGAGACGGCGCGGUGUUUCUGCCUUGUUGGAGUGAACGCCCAGAGCGGCCAUGUCUCCUUCACGAGGCUCCCCGUCCCGAUGAUGACCGAAGUAGAUUACCCGUGCCUUUGCUCAGGCUCAGCCACCGAUGGCACGCUCUCGGUGCCACACAUGCAAUGGGGAGGUUCCCCGGUCGAGCUAAUGAUACAGCCUAGAAAAGAGAAUCAAGGAAGAGAAAGGUUAUACAUUGUGGGAGAGAAGUGUGGUAAAUUGAUUGUGAAGGACAGGCGCGGACGCGUGUACACAGGCAACCUCUCGACCGGGGCAAUGGAGGAGGUGGCGGACUGGCCUCGCAUGUGCCACAUCAACACUCCGAAUGUUGUGCCUUGGAGAUGGAUUGGCCGGCGUUCUUUGUUUCCCGCCUUG
rnacentral:rRNA from 1 species